CAAUGCCUCAACAGGUGCAGAUGGUGAAUGAUUCACUUGCCUCAUCAGGUGCAGGAUGGUGAAUGAUUCACUUGCCUCAUCAGGUGCAGAUGGUGAAUGAUUCACUUGUCUCAUCAGGUGCAGGAUGGUGAGUGAUUCACUUGCCUCAUCAGGUGCAGAUGGUGAAUGAUUCACUUGCCUCAUCAGGUGCAGGAUGGUGAAUGAUUCACUUGCCUCAUCAGGUGCAGAUGGUGAAUGAUUCACCUCCAUCAUCAGGUGCAGGAUGAUGAAUGAUUCACUUGCCUCAUCAGGUGCAGAUGGUGAAUGAUUCACUUGCCUCAUCAGGUGCAGAUGGUGAUUGAUUCACCUCCCUCAUCAGGUGCAGAUGGUAAAUGAUUCACU